ACUCGGCAGACUUCGGAGCGAUGCAAACACCACAGUCACAACAUAACAUUAGGCUGUCUAUGUUGGGCUUGCGAAUAUUUCAUAUAACGGGUCAGCUUGCCAUUGACCGAGACAUCAAAAACCUCAGGGGCCUAACUGGCCCGGCAGCGGCACGGCUGCGCAUAACUGUCUACGUCAUUCCCCGCUCCCCUUAUCCCCCGCAAAGACCUGUCUUGCUACGCUGAGGUCGAACUAACUCACUCGCUCGCUCAUUCAUUGGCUAACGUUGCUGUGCGCCGGUCCGAUAUUCAGUUUUGCUCACCGCAUUGAGCUUGCAUUCCAUUUGUUGAGUCGUCCAGUAUGUUGAAAGAGACCACGAGGUAUCCAAACAACAACAAAACAGAGGGAGACGGCCGCAAUCCAAUCUCGGCCAGCCGAUUACCUGCUGUGGAAGAACUCACCCUUGGCUUAAAGCAAAAACUACACCUGCAGGCGAGAGCUAGAGCAGCCCCGUACUACAUUCGCAAACAAGAACCAGUUGAUUUGGUAGAUAGACUCCUAGAGGAAAGAGCCCUCGUCGCUGAAGCUGUUAGAAGAUUACAAGCUUUACAGGAUCAUCGAUCAGAAGACAAGAAAACGAUGCAUAAGUGCCCUAUAGACUCUUAAUUUUUUAUAAACAAAACAUUUUAGUCUGUGAAAGUGUGGAACGAGUUGUGAAAUCGCUUGUGUGUACGAAUCGUGUCGGGUUACAAUGGUGCUAUAUGCGGAGAGCGUGCGAGAACGAGACGGCGAGCUAUGACGUGUCACGCACGAGUCACGAGAGCGAACCAAAAUGGCCGCCCGGAUUCUACAAUCAUAAUAUUUAUUCUUCGUUUUAUGGUGACCUUAACUGAUCAAAGUACUGAAUGACGUAACUUUUAGUUUAUACUAUUCUAUUAUUCAUUGUAACUUCAUAUUUAUUUGUGAAGAAUACAUGUCACUAGAACAUGUUCUAGCAGUUCUCAGCUAAAAAUAUUACUUAUAUUAAAUAGAGUAUUUGCAAGCUUUAAUUAUAGCUGAAUUAACUACAAUUAUUUUCACUCAAAGUGAAGCAUUAAUCAAAUUUACUUCUAUACUUAAUCAAUAUAUUUAUAUAGUUUAGUUUAAAACAGUGUCCUACGCUUAUAAUUAAGUAACAAAUAUUUUAAAAAACUCAUUUUAUUGUUAAAUUUCCUACCUAUCAAAACCACAUAAUUAAAUUAUGUCAUCAAUUUCAUCGUCAGUCACACAGUCACACCAUAAUAUGAGAAUAAGACUACCUGUGUACACUUUCUGCGUAUAACAACUAUGUAACAUUUUGAUUAGUGUAUAAAUUUGAUCAAAAAAGAAUAUAGAAUAAUACCUUAACUACCUAGUAUAAAAAAUAAUAUUAAACCCAAUUUCCCGCUACUAUUUCAGCACUCUAAAAUAUUUAGUAGGUACAUAAUUUUAUAAUACUUAUUCAUAAUAUGAUUAGGUUUUCUCGCAUAGAUUUAAAAAAGCAUUCUACACAAUGCUAUAUAGUAGAAAAUGUACUAAUAUAAACAGUCAUGCUGUUAGGCAAUUUUAGGCAAUAUAAAGUAUGAAUUUAAUAUACUUACCUAUGUAUAAUUUAGUACAUACAUCGAUGUAAUAGUAACGUACAAUCGUACCGAAUUGGGUAUAAAAAUCAGCAUUGUAUUUCGUAUUACAUGUGUGCAUGUUUUAGUGCAUUUUUUGUGAUUCCUAGAUAGUUUAAUUUAUCGUCGAUCUUGUGAUUUAGAUAAGAAUUACUUACUUAAUAAAAUGAAAUGAAUUUCAAAAAUA